CUCUCUGCAUCCAGCACAUCUUUCAGAGAGCUCAGAUCCGCUGCCAUCUUCUGGCACUGAUCUCGGAGCACCUGGUUUUGUUGCUCAGCCUCACGUAGCUCCUGCUGCAGCAGUUCCACUGCCUGCGUUUGUCCCAGCAGAGCUUCUUCUCGCUCCUCCAGCUUCCUCUGCAGUGUACGCAGGUUCUGCUGCACCUCUGCUUCCUGAUCUGCCUUGGCUGCUGUUCUCAGCAGUUCAGCUUGGUGCUGGUGAGCCUGCUCCUGGAGGAGAGCUUCCUUCUCCUGAAUUACUUCCUGCAGCGAGCUCAGCUGUGAUGCAUAUUUGACUUCAGCAUCUUUCAGAUUCAUCUUGGCUAAAGCCAGCUGCUCCUUCAGAUCCUUAACAGCCUCUUCUUGCUCCCUGAGCUGCUCUUCCAGACCCUCAGCUUUGUCCCUGUGCUCUUCUCCUGCAUUUUGGCUAUUCUGACACUUAGCACACACUUGCUCUUCUGGCACGGCCUGUGCAGGCAGCAGAGGGCCCUUCUCUGUCAGCUCCUCGAUGCGUUUGUUCAGAGAUGCCAGCUUGGCUUUGGCCUGAAGUUUCAGUUUCAUCAGCUUUGCAUCCGCAGCUUCGCGUUCCUCCUUGAGCACAGUUUCCUUUUGCUGGAGCAGGGCAUCCUUCUCUCGGAUCAAAUCCUUCAGCUGCACAACCAGCUUU
rnacentral:lncRNA from 1 species